rnacentral:lncRNA from 1 species
UUGAUUCAUGAAAUUUAAGAAACUUUUAGGCAUUUGCAUAACCAUUGUAAACUUUCUAAGCAUCUUCAAGCAAAUGUUUUAAAGAUAGAGUGGUUUUAAGUAGAGAGAGAGAGAGAGAGAGUUAUGUACUAUGGAAAAUUAUCAUUUUUUAGCAUCUUUUUAGAGGUUGAAGGUAAAUAAAAUUAGAAAUGAAAAAAAAAAAUGAGAGGCAUUAAGCCCGAGAGUUUUGUGUAAAGCAAUUGUAUCCAACCUUCUAGUAGGGGAUGCACUAUGACACAAACAUCAUAACUUUUGAAGAAAAUCAAUCAAACUUUGAUAGUUAGAUUGCAGCACACUGAACUCUAUUAUGUGAUAAUUGCUGCAGUCCUUUCAAUCUAAAUUAUGAAAAUGACAAGGAAAACGACUCUUUACCGUUCCUUACAUCAAGGUGGCAUUAAGCUGCAGAAUAACUGAGGGAAAAGAGAUUUGCUGUACCAUUAAAGGAAUAGGCCUAUCCCCCGAAAAUAUGGGGGAGAUAUCCCAAUUUGAAGGACAUCUCCCUAUUUAAUUUGCAAUCAAAUACCACCAUCACAAUUAAUAAAUAAAUAAGAAGAAAAAAAAAGAUAAGGUCCCAUUAAUUAGCGUCACUACUAUUUUAAUUGGCAGCUUCAGCGAGAUUGCGAGACGCUCGAGCCUAUAAGAAGCCUUUCAAGCGUAGGAAUCAUUACACUGGUAUUAGAUUCCAUCUUGCCAGCCUCUAACAGUGGCUUCGUACAAGCUGGCGCCGCCA